AUUGAACGCUGGCGGAAUGCUUUACACAUGCAAGUCGAACGGUAGAGGGGGCAACCCCUCGAGAGUGGCGAACGGGUGAGUAAUAUAUCGGAACGUGCCCAGUCGUGGGGGAUAACGUAGCGAAAGUUACGCUAAUACCGCAUACGAUCUAAGGAUGAAAGCGGGGGAUCGCAAGACCUCGCGCGAUUGGAGCGGCCGAUAUCAGAUUAGGUAGUUGGUGGGGUAAAGGCUCACCAAGCCAACGAUCUGUAGCUGGUCUGAGAGGACGACCAGCCACACUGGAACUGAGACACGGUCCAGACUCCUACGGGAGGCAGCAGUGGGGAAUUUUGGACAAUGGACGCAAGUCUGAUCCAGCCAUUCCGCGUGCAGGAUGAAGGCCCUCGGGUUGUAAACUGCUUUUGUACGGAACGAAAAGGUCUCUCUUAAUACGGGGGGCUCAUGACGGUACCGUAAGAAUAAGCACCGGCUAACUACGUGCCAGCCGCCGCCGUAA
rnacentral:rRNA from 1 species